CCUACGUGCGGCAGCAGUGGGGAAUAUUGGACAAUGGGCGAAAGCCUGAUCCAGCCAUGCCGCGUGUGUGAAGAAGGCCUUCGGGUUGUAAAGCACUUUCAGUGGGGAAGAAAGCCUUGGGGCUAAUACCCUCGAGGAAGGACAUCACCCACAGAAGAAGCACCAGCUAACUCCGUGCCAGCAGCCGCGGUAAUACGGAGGGUGCGAGCGUUAAUCGGAAUUACUGGGCGUAAAGCGCGCGUAGGCGGUCUGAUAAGCCGGUUGUGAAAGCCCCGGGCUCAACCUGGGAACGGCAUCCGGAACUGUCAGGCUAGAGUGCAGGAGAGGAAGGUAGAAUUCCCGGUGUAGCGGUGAAAUGCGUAGAGAUCGGGAGGAAUACCAGUGGCGAAGGCGGCCUUCUGGACUGACACUGACGCUGAGGUGCGAAAGCGUGGGUAGCAAACAGGAUUAGAUACCCUGGUAGUC
rnacentral:rRNA from 1 species